rnacentral:rRNA from 1 species
ACUGCUCAGUAACACGUGGACAACCUACCCUAAGGAGGGGGAUAACCCCGGGAAACUGGGGAUAAUACCCCAUAGACUAGAGAAGCUGGAAUGCUCUCAAGUCCAAAGGUCCGCCGCCUUAGGAUGGGUCUGCGGUCGAUUAGGUUGUUGUUGGGGUAACGGCCCAACAAGCCCGUGAUCGAUACGGGUUGUGAGAGCAAGAGCCCGGAGAUGGAUUCUGAGACACGAAUCCAGGCCCUACGGGGCGCAGCAGGCGCGAAAACUUUACAAUGCGGGAAACCGUGAUAAGGGAACCCCGAGUGCCCGUAAAUUCGGGCUGUCCAUCAGCGUAAAUAACUGGUGAAGAAAGGGCCGGGCAAGACCGGUGCCAGCCGCCGCGGUAAUACCGGCGGCUCGAGCGGUGGCCACUAUUAUUGGGCUUAAAGCGUCCGUAGCUUGGUUGUUAAGUCUCUUGGGAAAUCUACCGGCUCAACCGGUAGGCGUUCAGGAGAUACUGGCAAUCUAGGGACCGGGAGAGGUGAGAGGUACUCCAGGGGUAGGAGUGAAAUCCUGUAAUCCUUGGGGGACCACCUGUGGCGAAGGCGUCUCACUAGAACGGCUCCGACAGUGAGGGACGAAAGCUGGGGGAGCAAACCGGAUUAGAUACCCGGGUAGUCCCAGCUGUAAACGAUGCGCGUUAGGUGUAUCGGUGACCACGAGUCACCGAGGUGCCGAAGGGAAACCGUGAAACGUGCCGCCUGGGAAGUACGGUCGCAAGGCUGAAACUUAAAGGAAUUGGCGGGGGAGCAC